UCCGUCAAGACUACUACUUGUCUGUGGAGCUCUCUACUAGGGAAGUUCCUGAAGUCUGAAAAAAAUCAGUCCUGUCCCAGCAGUAACAAAUGAGUACAGGUUUGUGGAGCAAGCAACUGUUCAUUUGUUUUGUCAGUAAUGGAAAGAAGACUUGAACAGCUGAUGACAGACUCAUCCAUGCAGUUCUUCUAUGCCUAAGUGAAUACAAAUUAACAACAACAAAAUUGUUCAAGAACAUUUGGUCUUUGGAAGAAAAGCACUUGUCACAUAAUCCUGUGGUUACUGAAAGAACAGGAGGGAUUUUCACUGAUGUCAUUAGCAGUUGGAUCAAAUUCAAGCAUGGAUUUAGCCGAAUGGCGAGGGAAGAAAAGUGCUCUGGUGAUGGCUGGAUAUCUCACUGGGUGAGCCUGGACAUUUAUUAAUUAUACUGUGAAGAAGUUUGAAGAUGAAAAAGAG